UGUAUUACAAUUUUUUCAAAAACCCCAAAAUACCCCCAACUCAUUACUGUCUUCUUCCUUGAGAAGAACGAUGUUUUCUUCAUUCGGCUUCUUCAUUCCUCCAUACAUCCUGAACUUCUGAAAUCGGAAUCGAAGGUGAACAUCUCCAAAGUCUUGGAGAUCAAUGGUGGUUCUAAUCGUUCGCGAUCAAAGACAUUACAUCUCAUUGAAGAUCGGAGUUGUUAAUAGAUGAAGAUCGAAGUCUAAGAGAACUGAGCAGACUGAAAGUCAACCCGAUACAAGCAAUUCUCAAAUAACGACUAGAUCACAAGCUUCUACAAUGGCCAUUGAGUUGAGCAUGCAAGCCAAGGUUAAUGCACAAUUGCAAGCUAAGGAAGCCAAAAGGAAAGCAGGGGAAUAGAGGAAGAAGGCAACUGCUGAUGGGAGUUGAAUGAAACAGAGAGAUAGAGUGCAAUGAAGACUUUAAUUGGAUUAGAUGAUCUAAUUUUCAUGUUUGUACUAUUAAUGAAAACUUUUUAUUGGUUGAUGGAUUUGAUGUUUAAGAUAGUAUUUGGACUAUUCUUUUGGGUUUUGAUGUUAUUAUGGAGUAUAUAAAUUGUGUUUGACUUUUUGGUGGAAUGUUUAUGGAUGUGUGGCACAUUUGUGGA